rnacentral:rRNA from 1 species
UAAACUAGGAUUAGAUACCCUAUUAUUUGAAGUGUAUAUUUUUUCACUUGAGUAGUAUUAGUUAUGUUCUUGAAACUUAAAAAAUUUGGCGGUAUUUUAGUCUUUUCAGAGGAACUUGUUCUUUAAUCGAUAAUCCUCGAUGGACCUCACUUGAUUUUGUUUUUCAAUUUGUAUAUCGCCGUUAUUUGAAUAUUUUUUUAGAAUAAUAAUUUUCAAUUUUUUUAAUAAAAAUUUAAUGUCAGGUCAAGGUGCAGUUAAUGGUCAAGAAUGAAAUGAGUUACAAUAAAUUUAUUUAUGCGAAUAUUUGAUUGAAAUGGUUUUUUGAAGAUGGAUUUGAUAGUAAAUUUUAAUAGAUAUUAAUUUUGAUUUUAGCUCUAAAAUAUGCACACAUCGCCCGUCGCUCUUA